GUGCUUGUUUCAGUAGCACAUGUGCUAAAAUUGGAAUGACACAGAGAAGAUUAGCAUGGCCCCCACCCAAGGAUGAUGCACAAAUUCAUGAAGCCUUCCAUAUUUUU
ensembl:snRNA U6 U6 spliceosomal RNA